rnacentral:rRNA from 1 species
UACGUAGGGCGCAAGCGUUGUCCGGAAUUAUUGGGCGUAAAGAGCUCGUAGGCGGUCUGUUACGUCCGCUGUGAAAACCCAGGGCUUAACCCUGGGCUUGCAGUGGAUACGGGCAGGCUAGAGUUCGGUAGGGGAGACUGGAAUUCCUGGUGUAGCGGUGAAAUGCGCAGAUAUCAGGAGGAACACCGGUGGCGAAGGCGGGUCUCUGGGCCGAUACUGACGCUGAGGAGCGAAAGCGUGGGGAGCGAACAGG